ACAACUUCCCUCUAGACCUAGCUGCUGUUGAAGUUCCAUCUAUCAAUGGAUAAGAUUUGGUCUUAAUGUAUACGAGUUCUUGAAAGUAAAGGAGCAAUAACCAAUUUCUUGUUUUCUCAAGAGGAUUGGUAUUGCUCCUUUAUUAUGAAUAAAUUUUACAUAAGUUUUUUUUAUUUCUACUUUUGUAAUUUCUACUUAUACAUAGUUAGUUAUAAGGUAGGGGGGGCGGAUGUAGCCAAGUGGAUCAAGGCAGU
rnacentral:misc_RNA from 1 species